AAUCAACGCUGGCGGCGUGCCUAACACAUGCAAGUCGAACGGCAGCACGGACUUCGGUCUGGUGGCGAGUGGCGAACGGGUGAGUAAUGUAUCGGAACGUGCCCAGUCGUGGGGGAUAACGUAGUGAAAAUUACGCUAAUACCGCAUACGAUCUAUGGAUGAAAGCGGGGGAUCGCAAGACCUCGCGCGAUUGGAGCGGCCGAUAUCAGAUUAGGUAGUUGGUGGGGUAAAGGCCCACCAAGCCAACGAUCUGUAGCUGGUCUGAGAGGACGACCAGCCACACUGGAACUGAGACACGGUCCAGACUCCUACGGGAGGCAGCAGUGGGGAAUUUUGGACAAUGGGCGAAAGCCUGAUCCAGCCAUUCCGCGUGCAGGAUGAAGGCCCUCGGGUUGUAAACUGCUUUUGUACAGAACGAAAAGGUUUCUACUAAUACUAGGAGCUCAUGACGGUGCUGUAAGAAUAAGCACCGGCUAACUACGUGCCAGCCGCCGCGGUAA
rnacentral:rRNA from 1 species